GGGGGCGACCUGGUUUCGACGGGGUUCGCCGAGGAUGCGGUAGCGCGUAGAGGGUGCCGUUGGCCUCUUAAAAAAACGGCAACGCCAAUAACUGGCAAGAACUACGCACCACUCGCUGCUUAAGCCAGCGACGUCACUUAACAGCCCCGCUCGUGGCUUGUUAAGCUGACGCAACAAAACGAGCUAGCCGCAUGCAGUAGCGUCGGCCUGCGGCGAAGUUAAAGGCGCUUAGGUGACGCGCAGAAGCC
rnacentral:tmRNA from 1 species